CCUUGUGGUGUCAGCGGCAGACGGGUGAGUAACGCGUGGGAACGUGCCCUUCGGUUCGGAAUAACUCAGGGAAACUUGAGCUAAUACCGGAUACGUGCGAGAGCAGAAAGGUUUAUCUGCCGAAGGAUCGGCCCGCGUCUGAUUAGCUAGUUGGUGAGGUUAUGGCUCACCAAGGCGACGAUCAGUAGCUGGUCUGAGAGGAUGAUCAGCCACACUGGGACUGAGACACGGCCCAGACUCC
rnacentral:rRNA from 1 species